GCGUCGGCUCAACUCCGGGCGGAAGUGACGCUCUAGGGCUGCCUGUCUGUCUGUCCGUUGGCGCUGUGUUCCUCCUCCUUCCUCCCGGGUUCGAGGGGGCGUCGGUUGUCUUGCGUCUCUCUCUGUCGGGAGUGGGAGCAAUAUGUCGGGCCGGGAAGGUGGAAAGAAGAAGCCCUUGAAGCAGCCCAAGAAGCAGUCGAAGGAAAUGGAUGAGGAAGAGUUGCUUUCAAGCAAAACAGAAGGAGGAGCAGAAGAAAUUGGAAGAGCUGAAGGCAAAAGCUGCUGGCAAGGGCCCCUCAGUGGAGGUGGGAUUAAGAAGUCUGGUAAGAAGUAGCAGACUUGAAUAAUUUACCUCCCUUGGAUGCUUGGCAGUGGGAAGGAUUUCCAGGCUCAUGUCAUGGAAGACAUUACUUUGAGCACCUUUGUACAUUUUGUUCAAACAAAAUAAAUGUUGUUGUUUUUGGUUAA